rnacentral:rRNA from 1 species
UACGUAGGGGGCUAGCGUUGUCCGGAUUUAUUGGGCGUAAAGAGCGCGCAGGCGGUCGAUUAAGUCGAGUGUGAAAGCCCCCGGCUCAACUGGGGAGGGUCACUUGAUACUGGUCGACUCGAAGGCAGGAGAGGGAAGUGGAAUUCCCGGUGUAGUGGUGAAAUGCGUAGAUAUCGGGAGGAACACCAGUGGCGAAGGCGACUUCCUGGCCUGUUCUUGACGCUGAGGCGCGAAAGCUAGGGGAGCAAACGGG